AUUGAACGCUGGCGGCAUGCUUUACACAUGCAAGUCGAACGGUAACAGGCCUUCGGGUGCUGACGAGUGGCGAACGGGUGAGUAAUGCAUCGGAACGUGCCCAGAGGUGGGGGAUAACGCAGCGAAAGCUGUGCUAAUACCGCAUGUGAUCUGAGGAUCAAAGCGGGGGACCAGGCAGCAAUGUUUGGCCUCGCGCCUUUGGAGCGGCCGAUGUCAGAUUAGGUAGUUGGUGGGGUAAAGGCCUACCAAGCCGACGAUCUGUAGCUGGUCUGAGAGGACGACCAGCCACACUGGGACUGAGGCACGGCCCAGACUCCUACGGGAGGCAGCAGUGGGGAAUUUUGGACAAUGGGCGCAAGCCUGAUCCAGCAAUGCCGCGUGCGGGAAGAAGGCCUUCGGGUUGUAAACCGCUUUUGUACGGAACGAAAAGGCUCUGGCUAAUACCUGGGGCUGAUGACGGUACCGUAAGAAUAAGCACCGGCUAACUACGUG
rnacentral:rRNA from 1 species